GAUGAACGCUGGCGGCGUGCCUAAUACAUGCAAGUCGAGCGAACAGAUAAGGAGCUUGCUCCUUUGAAGUUAGCGGCGGACGGGUGAGUAACACGUGGGUAACCUACCUAUAAGACUGGGAUAACUUCGGGAAACCGGAGCUAAUACCGGAUAACAUUUAGAACCGCAUGGCUCUAAAGUGAAAGAUGGUUUUGCUAUCACUUAUAGAUGGACCCGCGCCGUAUUAGCUAGUUGGUAAGGUAACGGCUUACCAAGGCGACGAUACGUAGCCGACCUGAGAGGGUGAUCGGCCACACUGGAACUGAGACACGGUCCAGACUCCUACGGGAGGCAGCAGUAGGGAAUCUUCCGCAAUGGGCGAAAGCCUGACGGAGCAACGCCGCGUGAGUGAUGAAGGGUUUCGGCUCGUAAAACUCUGUUAUUAGGGAAGAACAAAUGUGUAAGUAACUGUGCACAUCUUGACGGUACCUAAUCAGAAAGCCACGGCUAACUACGUGCCAGCAGCCGCGGUAAUACGUAGGUGGCAAGCGUUAUCCGGAAUUAUUGGGCGUAAAGCGCGCGUAGGCGGUUUCUUAAGUCUGAUGUGAAAGCCCACGGCUCAACCGUGGAGGGUCAUUGGAAACUGGGAAACUUGAGUGCAGAAGAGGAAAGUGGAAUUCCAUGUGUAGCGGUGAAAUGCGCAGAGAUAUGGAGGAACACCAGUGGCGAAGGCGACUUUCUGGUCUGCAACUGACGCUGAUGUGCGAAAGCGUGGGGAUCAAACAGGAUUAGAUACCCUGGUAGUCCACGCCGUAAACGAUGAGUGCUAAGUGUUAGGGGGUUUCCGCCCCUUAGUGCUGCAGCUAACGCAUUAAGCACUCCGCCUGGGGAGUACGACCGCAAGGUUGAAACUCAAAGGAAUUGACGGGGACCCGCACAAGCGGUGGAGCAUGUGGUUUAAUUCGAAGCAACGCGAAGAACCUUACCAAAUCUUGACAUCCUUUGAAAACUCUAGAGAUAGAGCCUUCCCCUUCGGGGGACAAGGUGACAGGUGGUGCAUGGUUGUCGUCAGCUCGUGUCGUGAGAUGUUGGGUUAAGUCCCGCAACGAGCGCAACCCUUAAGCUUAGUUGCCAUCAUUAAGUUGGGCACUCUAGGUUGACUGCCGGUGACAAACCGGAGGAAGGUGGGGAUGACGUCAAAUCAUCAUGCCCCUUAUGAUUUGGGCUACACACGUGCUACAAUGGACAAUACAAAGGGCAGCUAAACCGCGAGGUCAUGCAAAUCCCAUAAAGUUGUUCUCAGUUCGGAUUGUAGUCUGCAACUCGACUACAUGAAGCUGGAAUCGCUAGUAAUCGUAGAUCAGCAUGCUACGGUGAAUACGUUCCCGGGUCU
rnacentral:rRNA from 1 species